rnacentral:rRNA from 1 species
GACGAACGCUGGCGGCGUGCUUAACACAUGCAAGUCGAACGGAAAGGCCCCAGCUUGCUGGAGUACUCGAGUGGCGAACGGGUGAGUAACACGUGGGUAACCUGCCCUGCACUCUGGGAUAAGCCUGGGAAACUGGGUCUAAUACUGGAUAUGACCUUUCUCCUUAUGGGGUUUGGUGGAAAGUUUUUCGGUGUAGGAUGAGCCCGCGGCCUAUCAGCUUGUUGGUGGGGUGAUGGCCUACCAAGGCGACGACGGGUAGCCGGCCUGAGAGGGUGAUCGGCCACAUUGGGACUGAGAUACGGCGCAGACUCCUACGGGAGGCAGCAGUGGGGAAUAUUGCACAAUGGGCGGAAGCCUGAUGCAGCGACGCCGCGUGAGGGAUGACGGCCUUCGGGUUGUAAACCGCUUUCAGCAGGGACGAAGCGUAAGUGACGGUACCUGCAGAAGAAGCACCGGCUAACUAUGUG